rnacentral:lncRNA from 1 species
AUGGAAUUGUGACGUAAGAAUAACAUGAUGCAUGUUAUUAAUCUCAUUCAAAUAUAAUUUAAAUUAUCAUCCACUCAAUUCUAAUUCAUUCUUUAAUAAUUACGAGCAUUUAAUUUUUAUAAAGAAGUACUUCAGAUUUUUUAGUUGUUGUUCAGCUUAUAUUCAUUUUUUUCAUCAUGGGUGGAUACUCCGUGCUCGAACUGUAUCCAAAUAUAAAAAAAUCAUGGAAACAUACAGUUCUUUAGAUUUCCUUUUCCAAAAAAUAAAAAAGAACUAACUAGAAAAAAACAAAGGUUAUCUAACCUUAAUAUUCCUCUAAUUGGAAACCAGCUCCAAAAAAAAAAAAUUUCAUCCUAACGUUGUUUGCUAAAAGCAACCCUUUUACAUAGUCGGUAUUUGAAUUUAUUCGUGUCUUCUUAUAACUUAAAACGCUCACUAUAGAGUGGAAUGAAACUGAAAGAAUGUUUACAAUUAAUUAUAUAUGCUCAUUGUCUAUAUGCAAUUAUGUUCCACUUUAUCACAAUGACUUGUUCUUUAAUGCUGGGAGUGACGAAGUAACACGAUCUUUUCAUAGAUUCAAUUCGCCAAGGAGUGACAGUCAAUACUGAUAACAAUACAUAUGGAUUGAUUAUAUUUGCCAUUGGAUUGAAUUAUAGAAUUGAUGAUGACAAGGCUAAAGAAUUAACAUAGAAUAAUCCUUCUAUUUUAUUACUCAAAUGAGUUUGAGUGAAAUCAGACAGUCUUCUUCGUAGAUUGUAUUGAUAGACCUGGAGGAAGGGGACUCAGGACUCCCAAUUCUUUGAAAUAAAAGAGUAUUUUUUCUUUGUGAAAGUCUUUCAUUUUUUAAUAUAUGUUGAGGAUGAUUUCAUACAAGAUACAAUAACUAUUUAUAUGUAAUAGCAGAAUAUAAUAUACUUUACAGUGCAAACUA